UUAUAAAAAGAAAAGGUUUUCCACAUAUGCAAAAAGUGCCCUUUUUUCCCCCUGGAGCACUUGCCCCCCAAAAUGUCUGUGCACGCCACUGCCAUUUAUCAUUCUGUGUGAUGCUGUGCAAAAUCUAAUACAUAAUUAUCCAUGUUUGCUACAUUAUCUGGUAGUUAUCUGUUAAAUGCUUUGACCAAAUGGUCAAUUUUCAGGGUCAAAGGUGUCAAAGAUUAUGAUCGAAGUCAGUCAUUGUUUUUCACUAAUCUGCACCAUGAUUAUAGUCACAGAAGGUCUCUCUCCCUUUCUCUCUCUCUCUCGUAAUACUGUUGUCUUUGUUUGUGAGGUCCUUUCCACACACCCUAACCCAAACUUAAUUUGCAUGCAAGUAACAGGAGGUUUUCUGUAUAUUAUGUGCGUGGCCGAUGUUGAAAUAUUAGGGGCAAUAUUUAGAUUUGUUCUUUCAGAGCUAUGCGCUGCUAGUAACACCGCCAACAUAAUAAUGGUUCCUGUACAAACAUAUGUACAUUACAUAAACACACAGUAAGACAAAUAGAUUCUUAGCUUCUUUUUCUUUCAACUCAAGUGAUUCAUGAACCGUGGAAUGGCGUGACAGGAAUGCGUUGAUCACUCAGUACGCCACUGCCUGUCUCUCCACCCGAGAGGGAGUGAGGGAGGGAAAAAGGGCUGUUGAAUGAAUUAAAAAGACAAAAGGAUGAAUGAAUGAGAGAAUGAAUGACUAGUGCAGUGAGGCUAAAGAUAAAUGCAAGGCUUUUUUUUUUUUUGGUGAAAGUUAGUGCAGCAUGCUGUGUUGCAGCUAGACCAAAAAAAAAAGUAAGAACACAAAAGCACCCACAUUCAAAUUUUUUUAAGCUGAAAUGUAUUGGCCAAUAAAUGAUUUGAGCUUCGCCUGCAGGUAUUAGGGUUUACUUUGGGGUUUAGUGUGCAGAGGGAGAUUGUAGCAAGUCUGCCAAAGCCUUGCUACAAUCUCAAAAUGAUGGUAUAAAAACAAACGGAGAUUAAAAUAUGUAUGAGGCAAAGUCUGGUUUCUUUUGCAGUUACAGAGAUUCUCUGUUUCCUGCUAAGCUGCUGAAUGUGACAAGCCAAUGAAUCAGUUAUUUAAACUCCUGACUAAUGCUAAAAAAAUAAAAAUCAAUCCUGUAGUUAAAAAUUUGGACUUUGGAGCAAUAAGAUUUACCCUUGCUGAAAACACUCUUGCAACCUUGUUUUAAACUGUGCUAACUAAUGUUUCUAAUGACCCAAGUUUUAAUACAUAUAUCUGAUUUUAUUUUUAUUAUUAUGUAUUUAUUUAGAUAUUUGGAUAUUUGUUAUGUGCAACACAUGAAAAGCCAGAUCCACUAAAUGGGGGAAAAAUAUGCUCCGUUCUAAAAACAAUCAGUUUAUUUCAAUAUCAUGUCUUAUUUCAAAAAAUAAGACAUGCUUUUUUUCUCAGGAAUAAAUAUCAGCACAGUUAGCAAUAAACUAAACCUUCCUCUUUUAUAGGACUAUAUCCAGAUGCAUCCAGCUGGCAGCCAGCUGAGUUGACGCCCUUCAGGUUGUGUUCAUUUAGACUGACAACAUGUUGGCAAUCUGUCUGCAUUUAUAAAUUAUAUAGCAAUUAUUUGUAAACCUUCAACAAUCUCUCUGAGAUUUAUUUCAGUCAGUUCAAGUCAGGCUGUGACUAUUUGACUGAAUGACUGUUAUUUAAAUGUAUUUAAUAAAAUAUCAACAUUUAGUAUCCCUGUACAGAUAUUGCUGUAUAGUUGUGUUUUUUCAUUUUCUCCUCCACCCGUAGACUGUUCUGAUGUAGAGGUCUUUCACUGUUGCAAAAACUCACGUUACAAGUGCAUGCAUUUCGCUCACAAAUGAUAAAAAGUAAGGCAGAGGGGGCAUCUGAAGUUAAAUGGUAAAUGGCCUGUAUAGCACUUUACUUAGUCCCUAUGGACCCCAAAGCGCUUUACACUACAUUCAGUCAUCCACCCAUUCACACACACAUUCACACACUGGUGAUGGCAAGCUGCAUUGUAGCCACAGCUGCCCUGGGGCGCACUGGCAGAGGCUGGAUACUGGCGCCAUCGGGCCCUCUGACCACCACCAGUAGGCAAUGGGUGAAGUGUCUUGCCCAAGGACCCAACGACCAAGGCUGUCGGAGCCGGGGCUCGAACCGGCAACCUUCUGAUUACAAGACGAACUGCCAACUCUUGAGCCUUGAUCGCUCCUAAAGACAUCUCGCGGGAAAGAAACCCUGCUCAUAGAUUCCACACAUUAUGGCAUAUGAUUAAUCUUUAUGCAGUCCAAUUCUCAAAUUUAUAACAGUGGUAAAAGCGAUAGUCCAUCCAUCCACUUUCUUUCUCUUAUCUGGGCCCAGACCUCCCUCUCUACGGCCACUUCCUCCAGCUUGUCCAGGAUAACACCUAGGUGUUCCCAGAGGCCUGCUGGGAGAUAUAAUUUCUCCAACAUGUACUGGGUCUGCCCUGUGGCUUCCUCUUGGUGGGACCCCAAGAUACUUAAACUCUACUGUAUGUAUUAUUGUAGGGUAAACCUUACAAUAUAAAGCGCCUUGAGGCGACUGUUGUUGUGAUUUGGCGCUAUAUAAAGAAAAUUGAAUUGGAAAAACUCCUUCACUUGGGGCAGUAACUUGUCCCUGACCUGGAGUAGGCACUCCACCCUUUUCCAGCUGAGGACCAUGGCCUCCGACUUGAAGAUGCUGAUUCUCAUUCCUGCCAACCAAGAUAGCCCUACAACAUCCAGAGCUUUCAAGAACUCUGGGUAAACUUCAUCCCCUGGAGUGGAUGCCUCCAAGGAGUUGUUUAACUGGCUCAGUGCCCACCAUCUGGUUCAAAGGUUACCACCAAGACAGACACCAACCACCUUGUGGCUGCAGCUCAGUGGAGAAACUUCAGCAAUUAAGGUAUUAAACAUGGUCUAUUCGGACUCAAUGUCCCCAUUCUCCCUCGGAAUGCUGUCAAUGGUGGUAAGAGUUGAAGGUAACCCUCACUAUACAUUUAGGCACCUGUCUUCACCCAAGUGUCCAGAACAUACGGCCUUAGAUCUGAUGAUACGAUUACAAAAUCUGUCAUCGACCUGUGGCCUUGGGUGUCCUUAUUUCAAAAUCGUGUUCGUUGUGGACAAACUUUGGUUUGCACAGAAGUCCAGAAACAGAACCCUGCUCGGGUUCGAGCUGGGGAUCAGUCCACCAGGGUUUGCACCCCUGGCCCCCGCCCAGCACACACUGCACCAGACUCCUACAGCACCUCCUGCGGGUGGCGGGCCUACUGCAGGGUGGGCCCAUGUCCCUCAUUUGGGAUGUGCCUGCCUGGUGUGUCUUAGACUAAGGCCCAUCCCCAGGCACUCGCCCUUGGGCACCUUCCCCACCUGUCCCGAGGGCAGGGCCCCAGUAACCCUAUUCCGGGCUAGGGUGAGAUAUUCUCUAGAUCUUUCACUCAUUGGGGUUUUUGAAUCACUCUUUGUCUGGUCCCUCACCCAGGAGCAAUUUGCCAUGGGAGAGCCUACCACGGGGAAAAAGCCCCCCAACAACAUAGCCUCUGGGAUCCCUGGGAAUAUAAUAUUUCUCGGUAGCUGGUCACCUUUCCUACAGUGUAAACUAUCAUGCACUUAACUGUUUGUAUAAAAAUAUUGAUAGGGGUUAAAAAGCAUUUUCAUUGAAGUAAAAUUGAUUGAAAAGUGGGAAAAACUCCCAUAAUUUCAGUGUAUAAGUCGAUUUGUGCACUUGACUUUUACUGUAGUGGCACUUCAUCGUCAACAGUUGCUUUCUUGGCUAAGGAAAAUCUCUGCAGUUCAAAUGCCCUCAUAUUACUCCUGUAGUCACUGCACCCAGGGCUGUGUGUGUGUGUGUGUGUGUGUGUGUGUGUGUGUGCGCGUGUGUGUUAUGGGGUGGAACUGGCAAGCAGCCCUGCAGCACAAGGCACCUGUUGGGUCCACAGGGUUUAUGUCUGAGGCUCGCUCCGACACAUCCCUUCAGAACCAUGGCUCACAGCCCAAAACAUUCUCUUAACCACCAAUGACGCAUAUGCAGCCACUGCCAACACUUAAUAGAAGCCUUUCAUAUUUUUUUACCUUUGUCUGUCUUUCAUUUUCACCUGCCUUUUUAAUAUGGGUAUUUUUUUUCUGCCAUUGCUAUUUAAGUGUUAGCUUAGGGAGUCAGUGUGCGUGUGCAGCCAUUGAAAGGGCACCAUAAAACUUCUAACACAGGCAUUGCGUGCCUCACAGUGCUAAACAAGUCUCCUUGUGUUUGUGAAAAAGCCUUCAGGUAACUAAAGUUAGACUUUAGGAAUUCCUUAAGAGCUAGUAUUUUUAAACAAUUAACAGACCAACUUAUAUAAACAAACCUGGUGCCUUUUUUUUGUGUGCAUAAACAGGCAGUGAAUAGGGCUUCUUUAUAAUCAGCAUGUGGCACAGAGUGGCUUGUAAAAAUUCUCAUGAUGACAGGAUUUUGAUUGAGCUGAAAAGCUCCUCAGCUGGGGUGAGUUCACCUCACAUGUAGGGCGGUUUAUUAAUUCUUCUUGAGUUUAGCGUAUGCACUUUGCUGAUAGCAGGAUGGAGACGGUGUGGUCUGCAUGUACGCGUUCAGCACAGCUUUCUAAUCCACAUCAGUAACGUUUAAUUGCACAUGCUGACAGCAAAAUGAAGCUGCACCUCAUUCUUUUGCCAUUUGUUUGUACUUACAGGUACAUGACCGCGCUGACAGACUCAGAGGAGGAUGAGCUAAGUGAUGCAGAAGAGAGGGAUCAAGAGCAUCCUGUGGACAAGUUGUCUCUCCUCAUUGAGCAGAUUGACCGUUUGCAUCAGGGCUGUGAGUCUGACAAACGGGAAAGUCUUAAUAUCCUUUUGGAACAAAGAGAAGAGUUUGGACAAAAUUCGACAUUUCUUUGGCGGCUAACCCGAGCUUACUGUGACGUCCAUGACAUCAGCUUGACUCUGGAGGAGAAGAAGACCUACGCAGAGACUGGUAAUUUACUAAAACUUGUUUCAUGCCUCGUUUGACUAGCAUUCUACGCUGGAUAUGAGAUGUUAUCUUAUAAUAAAUCCGACUGUUACACUGGCCAACCCUCAAAAGUCAGUGUCUCAUCUGGAAUACCCAAAUCCAAAUGUGGUUUUAAGCAAUGUCAGGGAAUUGGCAGGAGUGCUUGGCAAGCUUGGACCAAACAUAGCCCUGGAUUGGUAUUUAUUUGUCAUACUAGCUUGGAUGCAACACGUUCAUGUAUCUUCAGUAUAAUAGCAUAUUGCUUAAGACACAACACUUCUAGAAAAAUUCAGUUCUUUAAACAGCACUGAGUCACAACUUCUGCCAUGACCAGUGCAAAGAUCCUUGUAUAGUGUUAUAUUCUAGUCAUUUACUCUAAUUUCUGUUCAAGGUAAACCCCCAAACAUUGGUGUCUAGUACCUCAUCUUUUUAAUUUCAACAAGUCUAGGUUCUAAUUCUAACAAACUCAAUGGCUGCUUUUAGGUACAUCUGUACAGAUGCCCAUUAACCUGGAUAUCUAAUCAGGUAAUCAGUAACUUAGUGCAUUUAGUAAUGUAGACAUGAUCAAGACAACCUGCUGAAGUUUAAACUCAGCAUCAGAAUGAGUACUGAAGGUGAUUUUGAAUGUGGUGUAGUCGUUGUAGCACAGGCUGGUCGGAGUAUUUCAGAAACUGCUGAUCUACUGGGAUUGUUCCACACAGCCAUCUUUAGGUCUGAAAACAGAGAAUGGUCAGGCUACAGUUCACAGAGGCUUACCAGAACUACACAGUAGAAGAUUGACAAAAUGAUUGGCUGUGUCAGAAUUUGGUGUCAGCAGCAUUAAAAUCUUGGAUCCAUCCUGCCUUGUAUCAAAGGUUCAGGCAGUUGGCGGUGGUGUGAUGCAACAACCUAUCUGAGUAUUGUUGUUGGCCGUGUCCAUCCCGUCAUGACCAAAGUGCAUCUUCUGAUGGCUGCUUUCAGCAGGAUAACGUGUCAUCUCAGUGAUGUUAGUGGUUUCUCUAAUGUGGCAGAGUUCACUGACUUCAAAAUACCCUCCACUGUAACCAGAGCUCAGUCCAUUAGAGUGGCUGUGGGAUUUCCUGGAUUCCUGUGAGGAAUGUUUCUAGCAUCUUGUUGAAUCUGUGCCACAAAGCAGCAAUACUAGCAAGGUGUAACCCAUGAGGUGGCAGGUGAGUGUAGGCUCAGUGGAGCUAAUGGUACUGUACACUUAAAUGAAACAAAGACAGUUUUUCAAUUGACGAUUGGACUGUUCCAGAUGAAAACUGACAUUUGUGUAUUUUUAUCUAU